rnacentral:tRNA from 1 species
GGUUAUAGUUCAGUGGUGGAACGCUUGCCUAGCAUGUAUGAGGCACUGGGUUCAAUUCUCAGCACCA